UUUUUUAAUUGUAAACUAGGAUGAAAGGUAGAAAAUUUAAAGGAAUGUUUUAUUUAAUAAUUUUGAAGUUAAAUUAAAAGUAAAAAUUCUUUUAUUAUUCUUUGGGACGAGAAGACCCUAGAAGCUUUUAAUAAUUCUAAAAAUUUUUAGUUGGGGCAAUAAUUGAAGAAAUAAAUUUUUAAUUAAUUUACAUUAUAUAUAUUAUAUAAUAAAAAGGAAGUUACUCUAGGGAUAACAGCGUUAUAUAAUUUACAAGUUCUUAUUAAUAAUUAUGUUUGCGACCUCGAUGUUGAAUUAAUUUGUAUAUUUGGUGAAGGAGCUUUAAAUAUUUUAGUCUGUUCGACUAAUAAAAAUUACGUGAUCUGAG
rnacentral:rRNA from 1 species